GUCGAGAAUUUUUCACAAUGGGCGAAAGCCUGAUGGAGCGACGCCGCGUGGGGGAUGAAUGGCUUCGGCCCGUAAACCCCUGUCAUUCGGGAUCAAAUUCGUCAACCUAACACGUUGACGGCUGAUAGUACCGAAAGAGGAAGGGACGGCUAACUCUGUGCCAGCAGCCGCGGUAAUACAGAGGUCCCAAGCGUUGUUCGGAUUUACUGGGCGUAAAGGGCGCGUAGGUGGCGGGCUAAGUCUGGUGUGAAAUCUCUGAGCUCAACUCAGAAAUGGCAUUAGAUACUAGUCUGCUUGAGGGUUGGAGGGGAGACUGGAAUUCUCGGUGUAGCAGUGAAAUGCGUAGAUAUCGAGAGGAACACCAGUGGCGAAGGCGAGUCUCUGGACAACUCCUGACACUGAGGCGCGAAAGCUAGGGGAGCAAACGGGAUUAGAUACCCGGGUAGUCC
rnacentral:rRNA from 1 species